UUUCAAUCACAUCGGUCACGGGUUUGAGCCCUAUACCAAGCAAAUUAAGCCUAGUAUUUAAGUGGAGAAAGAUAAAACAAUGGAUCUAGGUUUAUAUUGGAUAAUCGGGAGUUCCGGAUCAUCCCAAAGUUCUGAAAAUUACGAUUAGGAUUGGUUCUUUCAAGUGCUGAUGAUAGAUUCUUGAGCUAUGAUGAGAUGGAGAUAGUGGAAGUAGUUUCUGAUCAGGUGUCUGUGGUUUUGUCCC
rnacentral:lncRNA from 1 species